UACGUAGGGUGCAAGCGUUGUCCGGAAUUAUUGGGCGUAAAGAGCUCGUAGGCGGUCUGUUGCGUCGGCUGUGAAAACCCGUGGCUCAACCCCGGGCCUGCAGCCGAUACGGGCAGACUAGAGUUCGGCAGGGGAGACUGGAAUUCCUGGUGUAGCGGUGAAAUGCGCAGAUAUCAGGAGGAACACCGGUGGCGAAGGCGGGUCUCUGGGCCGAUACUGACGCUGAGGAGCGAAAGCGUGGGGAGCGAACAGG
rnacentral:rRNA from 1 species